AGUGAACGCUGGCGGUAGGCCUAACACAUGCAAGUCGAACGGCAGCACAGUAAGAGCUUGCUCUUACGGGUUGCGAGUGGCGGACGGGUGAGGAAUACAUCGGAAUCUACUUUUUCGUGGGGGAUAACGUAGGGAAACUUACGCUAAUACCGCAUACGACCUACGGGUGAAAGCAGGGGAUCUUCGGACCUUGCGCGAUUGAAUGAGCCGCUGUCGGAUUAGCUAGUUGGCGGGGUAAAGGCCCACCAAGGCGACGAUCCGUAGCUGGUCUGAGAGGAUGAUCAGCCACACUGGAACUGAGACACGGUCCAGACGCCUACGGGAGGCAGCAGUGGGGAAUAUUGGACAAUGGGCGCAAGCCUGAUCCAGCCAUACCGCGUGGGUGAAGAAGGCCUUCGGGUUGUAAAGCCCUUUUGUUGGGAAAGAAAAGCAGCAGGUUAAUACCCCGCUGUUCUGACGGUACCCAAAGAAUAAGCACCGGCUAACUUCGUG
rnacentral:rRNA from 1 species